rnacentral:snRNA from 1 species
AUGUGUUUAAGUUAUAUCAGA